CACGUAGGGGGCAAGCGUUGUUCGGAAUUACUGGGCGUAAAGGGCAUGUAGGCGGUUUUGUAAGCCUGACGUGAAAGGCUAUGGCUUAACCAUGGCACUGCGUUGGGAACUGCGAGACUUGAAUCACGGAGGGGGAGCUGGAAUUCCAGGUGUAGGGGUGAAAUCUGUAGAUAUCUGGAAGAACACCAGUGGCGAAGGCGAGCUCCUGGCCGAUGAUUGACGCUGAGGUGCGAAAGUGUGGGGAUCAAACAGG
rnacentral:rRNA from 1 species